CGCUGCCGGAACCGAUCUGAGGAGAAAACGGAGUUAUUGGAGAGGUAGGGCUUCCACCGAGGCGUGGGAAUUUAUGUGUUCAGCCCCUCCCUCUCCCCCACUAUAUAUAGGAGGCUAGGAGGAGGGUUGGGUCGCAGCCCUAGCCCCUCCUCCAAGGAGGGGGCGUGAGCAUAGGGAGGUUUCCGCCCCUCCCCAAGGCACCUAGGAGGUGCCUUUCCCUUUAGGGACUCUUCCCUCCCAAUCACAUGGGCCCUUUGGGGCUGGCCCAACAAGUCUUGGACACCUCCUUACAGCCCGUGCACAUCCUAGGGGCUGGAGGGACCCUUCCGGAACCCUCUGGAACCUUCCCGAUACAAUACCGAUAAAACCGGAAACUUUUCUGGUAGCCAAAGUAGGACUUCCCAUAUAUAAAUCUUUACCUCCGGACCAUUUCGAAGCUCCUCAUGACGUCCAGGAUCUCAUCUAGGACUCCAAAAAACAUUCGGUCACCAACAUACAUAUCCCAAUACUAAUCUAGCAUCACAGAAUGUUAAGUGUGCACACCCUGCGGGUUAGAGAACCAUGCAAACAUGACCGAGACACCUCUACGGUCAAUAACCAAUAGCGGGACCUGGAUGCCUGUAUUGGUUCGUACAUAUUCUACGAAGAUCUUUAUCGGUCGAACAACGAUGUCAAGGAUUCAAUCAAUCCCGUAUGCAGUUCCCUUUAUCCAUUGGUAUAUUAUUUGCCCGAGAUUCGAUCGUCGGUAUCUCGAUACCUAGUUCAAUCUCGUUACCAGCAACUUUGUCCCGGGUGCACUUUGUCCUCGGCCCACAUAUCAAUACUAGUCUUUUCUCACCCAUCCUAGAACUACUCCAAGCCAAGCACGCUUAACUUGGGAGUUCUGUUCAAAUGGGCUCCCGGAAAAGAAGAAAUUCCCCUGUCCGCAAACAUCCGUGUAACCGCGAGAACCUGACUCUGAUACCAAACUUGUAACACCCCGGACACACCCGCCGUAACUCUGAUACCAAACUUGUAACACCCCGGACACACCCGCCGUCGAUCGUUACUCCUGGCGGGAUCUAGACUGGCCCCACAUAUCAAUACUAGUCUUUUCUGCGUACUUUGUCCUCACUCAUGCGCACCGGGGAUCAACUUCCCGGUCGGUUACCCAUCCUAGAACUACUCCAAGCCAAGCACGCUUAACUUGGGAGUUCUGUUCGAAUUGGCUCCCGGAAAAGAAGGAAUUCCUUAUUGAUAUGAGUAGCCUAUCAUCCCUAAUAAGCCAGGCUAUCACAGUGUAGGCGCCACAUGAACAACUUCCUGUGCCCUGCUACACACUGGUUGAAGUGACGGUUCAAUGACCUCAUCAAGUUCCACCAUCCUCCCACUCAAUUCUUUUGAGAGAAAUUUUUUCUCAAGAAAGGAACCGUUUCUAAAAACAAACACUUUGCUUCCGGAUAUGAGAUAGGAGGUAUAGCCAACUGUUUUGGGUGUAUUAUGAAGAUGCAUUUAUCCGCUUUGGGUCGAGCUUAUCAGGCUAAAACUUGUUCACAUAAGCGUCGCAACCCCAAACUUUUAAGAAACGACAUCUUAGGUUUCUCUAAACCAAAGUUCUUACGGUGUCAUCUCAACGAAAUUACGUGGUGCCCCAUUAAAGUGAAUGUUGUUGUCUCCAAUGCAUAACCUCGAAAUGAUAGUGGUAAUUCAAUAAGAGGCAUCAUAGUAUGCACCAUAUCUUAAUAGGGCGCGGCUACGAUGUUCGGACACACCAUCACACUAUGGUGUUCCAGGUGGGAUUAGUUGUGAAACAAUUUUCACAUUGUCUUAAAUGUCUGCCAAACUCGCAACUUAGAUCAUCAUCUCUACGAUCAUAUCGUAGACAUUUCAUCCUCCUGUCACGACGAUCUUCAACUUCACUCCGAAAUUACUUGAAUCUUUUAAUAAUUCAGACUUGUGUUCCAUCAAGCAAAUAUACCAGUAUCUACUCAAAUCAUCUGUGAUGUAAGAACAUAACGAUAUCCACUGCGUGCCUCAACACUCAUUGGACUACAUACAUCAAAAUAUAUUAUUUCCAACAAGUCACUUGGUCGUUUCAUCUUAAUGAAAACGAGUCCUUCGGUCAUCUUGCCUAUGUGGCAUGAUUUGCAUGUCUCAAGUGAUUCAAAAUCAAGUGAGUCUAAACAAUCCAUGUGCAUGGAGUUUCUUCAUGCGUUUAUACCAAUAGGCAUGGUUCGCAUGUCUCAAACGAUUCAAAAAUGAGUGAGUCAAAGAUCCAUCAACAUGGAACUUAUUCAUGCGUUUUAUACCAAUAUGACUCAAGUGGUAGUGCCACAACUAAGUGGUAUUAUCAUUACUACUUUGUAUCUUUUGGCAUCAAUAUUAUGAACAUGUGUAUCACUACGAUCGAUAUUCAAUAAACCAUUCAUAUUAGGUGCAUAACCAUUGAAGAUAUUAUUCAAGUAAGAUCUGUUGGAUUUCACCUCUAUCCUACCCCCAACUUGUUUGGGACUAAAGGUGUUAUUGUUGUUGUUCUUGUUAUGCAUUUAAAUAUUGUCCAACGUUUAUCACAAAAUUGUUCAAUGUGUUUUUAAAUAUUGUUCAUCGUGUAUUUUAAGAAUUUUUUUACUGUAUAUUGCCAAUUUUUUCAAUAUAUAUUGAAAAUGUGUUCAUUGUAUAUAAAACAUUUAAGUAAAUAUUCGUAAUUUCCAAAACAAUUCAUGUUUUCAAUUUUUGUUCAAUUUUAGAAAAAAAAAUCAUGUUUAAAAGUUUGAUCCAACUCUAAAUUUGCUCACAAUUUUUCAAAUAUUAUUUAGAACAUUUGUGAAAAAAUGCAGGAAUUGUUCAGAGAAUUUGAAAAGAAAUCUGGUUGUAUCGAUGCAAUCGGUUCUUAAAAGCUGAUCAUGUGUCGUCGCGAGUUCGAUCUCUCUCUCUCUCUCAUACAAACACAACACUUUCUGGACUUUUCAGUGCACCCCGAGUUCGUUAGCUCCAAAUGGGCUGGCCCAUUCACGUCUGCCCUUCAGCAAAUCCUCAAAAAAUUGUGUGAACUGCAUUAUAGGUCUGCAAGGUAACUGCCAAUGAUGGAGCUAUAUACAUAUAAAUGAAAUUCAUGGUUUCAAAAAAGAUUUAUGAAUUUCAAAACAAUGUUCACGACUUUAUAAAAUGUUCACUAAUUGUAAAAAAUAUACAUGAAUAUGUCAAAAAUUUGUCUGACUUAAACAAAUAUAUUUAUAGAAUUUUUUUUAGAAAUAUGUUCAUGAAUAUGAGAAAAAUGUUUGCGAACGAAGAAUUUGAAAAACGUUCGUGAACGAUGAAUAUGUUCAUGAACGAUGAAUUUGAAAAUAUGUUCACGAACAACAAAAAAUGUUCGCAAAUAUGGAUUACAUGUUCUCGAACCAUAAAGUGGAAAAUAUGUUCGCGAACCACAAUAUGUUAUUGAAUAUGGAAAAUAUGUUUGUGACUUCAAAAAAAUGUUCAUGAACGUUGAAUUUGAAAAAACAGUCCGAGAAUGUUGAAUUUGGAAAAAUUCUUAACAAGUUUUAAAAAGUUUGUGAAUUUAAAAAUGUUAAUUAAUUUGCAAAAACAUUUGGAGCUAAAACAAUGUUCAUGAAUUUGAAAAGAUGCUUAUGAAUUAAAAAAAUCUUCAUUAAUUUGAAUGUUUAUAGUUUCAAAAAAUGUUCUCGAAUAUUCACGAACAUUUUUUGAAACCAUGAAUUUUAAUUUAUUUGGAGUGAAAUACAUUUAUCGUUCCCUAGAAUUUAUUUGAAUUUACUUGCAUGGUCGUUACCUUGUGGGCCCUCCUAUCCGACGUGUCGCACGUCAACAUCCCCGGCUGGCCAGUCAGGUGGGCUCAGACAGAAUUUAGACCUAAAUGACACGCUUACCGCAUUUUGAGGACCUGGAUAUCGAUUUUUAUAGUUUAAGGACCUAGAUGACACCCAUGAAAUAAUACGAGGACCUACAGUGCACUUCACUUCAAAAAAUUUGCCGCCCGCGAACGGCGUAUAUGAUCUCUCUUGUAGCUCUGUCACUGCUUCAAUCGAUGAAAAACCCUAUUUACCGCUCUGUGCGGGGAUCGGGCUGGCUCAGAAACGGGGCUGCAGUGCCCGUCCCAGCCAUUUUUUGCUGGUUUUGGGAAACUUCUAGAAAGGUUUCUGGACUUUUUUUUUCAUUUUUAUUUAUGCUUUUUUUUCUUUUUUAUUUUCUGUUUCUGUUUCAGAAAAAUAUUCUGGAUUUUCAAAAAAUAUUUUUGGAUUUUUAAAAAUAUUCUCAAUUUUAGAAAAGUGCUCUGUAUUUUCCCAACAUUUUCUCGGUUUAUAUUUUGUUCUUAAGAUUCAGAAAUUGUUCGUGUUUUCAAAUUUGUUCAGGAUUUUAUAAAGUUGUUCUCGGUUUCAAAUUUUGUUCUCAAGAUUCAUAAAAUGUUCAUGCGUUAAAAAAUUGUUCAUGCUUUCCAAUUUGUUCAUGAUUUUUCAAAAUUGUUCUCGGUUUCAAAAUUUGUUCUCAAAAUUUCAAAAAAUGUUUGUGCUUUAAAAAUUUGUUUGGAUAUUUUCAAAAUUAUUCUCCUUUUCAUUAUGUUCUCAAGAUUCAUAAAAUGUCCGUGCUUCCAAAUUUGUUCACGUUUUCUCAAAAUUGUUCUAGGUUUUAAAAUUUGUUCUCAACAUUCAAAAAAUGUUCAUGUUUUAGAAAUUGUUCUCCGUUUCAAAAUUUUGUUUUUAAGAUUCAAGAAACGUAUUUUCUUUAAAAAUUGUUUGCGCUUUCAAAUUUGUUCAGGAUUUUUGAAUUUUUUUCUCGGUUUAAAAAUUUGUUCUCGAAGCUCCGAAAAUGUUCGUGCUUUAAAAAUUUGUUCGCGCUUUCAAAUUUGUUCGUUUUUUUCUCAAAAAUGUUCUCCUUUUCAAAAAUUUGUGUGCUUUAAACAAUUUUUAGCGCUUCCAAAGUUUUUCAUGUUUUUCAAAUUUGUUCUCAGUUUUAAAAUUUGUUCUCAAAAUUCAAUAAAUGUUCAUGCUUUAAAAAUUUGUUUGUGCUUUCAAAUUUGUUCGGGGUUUCUCAAAAUUGGUCUCCUUUUUCAAAAAAAAUUCUCAAGAUUUAAUUUUUUUUCGUGAUUUUAAAAAUUGUCCGCGCUUCAGAAUUUGUUCACGUGUUUUGAAAAUUGUUCUAUUCAUUGCAUUUUCACAAAACUGUUUGUAAUUUCAAAAAAUGUUCUUCUAUUUCAUUUUUUCCUUUUCCCCAUAAUUUUUUUGAUUCUUCUCAAAUAAUAUUCGCGUUUCAGAAAUUCAUGUUCAAAAUUUUAGAAAAAGUUCGAUCUGCAGCGGCUUAUGGUUCGUGUUGUUAAAUUUUAUAGCUGUUGUUAGGUUCGUUAACAUUCACGCAUGUAACCUUCCACCUUUGGUAGUAAGUCGAGAUGGUUAACCAAGACGCACUCCGACCUAGAGGUACCGUGUUCGACUCCUAUUGCUCGCUCGUUUUCAUUUUUUGCUAUUUUCCACCCCUACAGCAAAUGGGCCGGCCCAGGAGAGCUGGCUCUAUGCGAAACCGCCACUAGUCGCCACAAAAUGCGGCGUAUAGGUGCUCCCUCAAUCCAUGGCUUCACGGACUACUGACAGUUGCGCUCAACCAUGCCAGGCCUUUUUGAUCACUUUUUAACCCGCCUCGAGUUCGUUAGCUCCAAAUGGGUCGGCCCAUUCGCGUCUGCCUUCAGAGAACACUCAAAAAUUUGUUGCCCGCAAGCGGCAUAUAGGAUCUCUCCUGUAGCUCUACCACUGCCUCAACCCGUGGCUUCACCGACAGUUGAUAGUUGGGCUCAACCAAGCCAGGCCUGGCCACUCUUUGCGCUAAGGAUCAUAUAUGGAUGGUGUUAGAGCAUCUAGAACCAGGCUUUCAAAACCUGGGCUCACAGUGCCCAAUUACAAAACCGUGACCCAGUCGGCCUCUCCAAACUGAAUGCAGACAUCUGGGUUAGCCGGCACCCGUCAAACACAUCCUAAAUCUGGGAUAUGCAUGAAGAGAUCCGGAUGCGUCUGUCAUGUCGGACAGGCCCACAUUGGUCCAUCCAAACCCACAUACAUCCCAAUUCCGGACAAAUUCUAGACCACAACCAACACACUCCACUCCACUCUCUCCGCGUCUCCGAUCUUUCUCCCUUCCAACCCAUGUCGAAUUUUGAAAGUAGCGAAGCGUCCGACGAUGGAUUGAACAACAACGAUGACUAGGUGUGUCGUUGUUGUGACUCGGAGACGGGCGACAUGGAGGAGCUCGUGCUCCGCAAUGCGGAUCGCCGGUUUAGUUAUUUAUUUGUUAAUUUUGUUUGGAUCUGUGUCCGGUGGCAAGCGGCGAACUUUGCAUUUUGGUUCAACGAACUGCAUAUUUUUAUGCUCGUAUGCAAUAUCUGCAUGAAUAUCAUGGAUUUGGGGGGGGGGGGAUGUACAUGGAUGUUUUGCAAGCGUAGCCUUGUUUUGCAAGAAAGAAAGGAGUCCUGUCCUAGAAAGAAAAAUCCUUCCGGGAUAAUUAAUGAGAAGAUCGAGUCCUGAAAUCUAUCUAAGCGCCCGCGCGGAGGUAGAAACAAAACAAACCCCGAGCUCGUGGUUAACGGAGUAGUAGCUAGUCGAGAUCUUGGCCGGUCGAUCGUUUGUUUGGCUUGAAGAGACAGAUAGGUCGAGAAGAGAGGAGCAGCAGCGAUAGCGAUGGGGGCCACCGAGAGCAAGCCGAAGCCGCCGGCGGCGAUCCUGGCGCCCAAAGUCUUCGACUUCCCUCCCGCCGCCGCCCGCACCAGGUGCUAUGCUACACCGAAGCAUGCAUGCAUGCAAGCUACUGUAGUAGAUCGCCGGUAGUUCAAUCUGCUGUUGCUGACGAUGUAAGCAUGCAGGAUGUCGACGCCGGCGUACGAUCUCAUGUUCGGGAAGCUCUCGCUGCGCGCCCUGUUCGACGACUACUUCCAGCGCCACCCUGACCGCAACGUCGAGGCGGGGCUUGUGUUCAAGCCGCCGGUGUACGAUGCCGACGUUGAUCUCACCGCCACCGUAUCCACUAUGUCAACCUUGAUGAUUCUGGACCUUGUUUUUUUCUUUUCUCGAUUACUGAUUCUGGACCUUUCAAAAGAGAAAAAAGAUCCCCAAUAUUUUUGUUCCUUGCACUGCUUUAUUUUGAGAAUCUUGUUCCCUUUUCAGUUUUCACCCCUAAUUUCCUGGGCUGAUAAAGCAUGAGGAAAAUGUAGUUUGUUUCCUAGUAACUGAAUCUCGCUAGAUGUCUAAAGAUGGCGGGGAGGCUCUGAUGCGGUGGCAGAGGUGAUUACUGCAAAACUGUUAUAUACCUUCUCAUCAACAAAGUCAUGCAUAUUCCCCGUUUCCUCUUAUUAUUAAGCUCUAUAUCCUUGCUAAACACAAAAUUGACUGGUGAGAUUUUGUAGGGAUUCCGAUGAUCCCCAUAACUUUCUGGAAGUUCUCGCCUCCACGUCAAAAAGGUAGGCGCUUUCUUAUCGAUCGUUGGUUCACCUAAUUGAUCCUCUUUUUUUCUUUCACUUCAGUGUGCAUAAUGCUGACUUGUCUUUAAAUGUAAUUUGUAAUCCAGCAUGUUGAGGCUGAGCUCAGCCGCUCACUAUCCUAUUAUUGGUAUUGGCGCCUUUGGGACAUUCCCUUUGCUUAUGGCAAACAGGUAGGCUUUAUUUGUACCUCUUGUUUAUUUAUUUUUGCAAAUUCUCCAUGCAUAUAAUUGUUACAUAGAUAAUUCUCUUGGUAUAGUUAUUUCUUUUCUUCUUUUCUUAGCAUGAUCUGAAACCAUACAUAGAAUUACAAACUUAAUAUAUUUUAUUAUUUUGCAGGGCGUGUUCAGAGGACUAUGGUGUCAUGGGUUUAAGAUAUGUUUCACAGAAUGUAUCGAUUGGAGCAUCCUUUUUGCCGUUUCCUUGUAUGUCACUACCCCGUUUAUAAUUAUAUAUAACUGAACUUGUUGAAUGGCCUGCAACAAAAAAAGAAAAUUUACAAUGUACCCAAAGUAGUUUCCAAUCUUUGAUUUUGAUUAUUUUUACUUGUGUUGCUUUGUAUUUAAUAUUAUGUUAUGAUAUGCCUAGUUCUAUUACUUUCUUUGCAGUUCCUGGUGAGGUACCAUAUGGUGCAUGGUUGGUUGGGAGAAAAGGGAAUUUCAGCGCAGGCCUGCAAUACAAACCACUUAGUGAGUGUUACUGAGCCCUAACUUAGCAUCAAAACCGUUUUUUGUUAGUCCCAUAACGUUUUGCUCUCUUGCAUAUGCUCUUCACUCACGUGCAUAUUUAUUAUUUUGAGAGGCUUUUCAUUUAUAAUCUUUUCCCAGCAUGGAAAAUACCAUAAUUAAGUGUGUUGUUGGAAAUGCCUUUAGCUAAAGAUUUAUAGUCUACAUGUGUAUCCCAAUUUAGAUGCUCAGACUAUCUCUUUUCAUAAAAUUUUCUAUCUACUUCUAUUAUUUGCAUGCGAUAAAAAAUAUUUAUGUCCCCAAAUUUCUAUGUUAUGCAUAGAAUUCACACAAUACAAAUUCUAGACAUUACACAUCAAAAGAUCAUCCAAAUUCGGUAUCAACAAUUUCUAACUCCAUAGGCUAACACAAUUUUAAUGUACAUAAUCAGCUAAGUUUGCAAAGUACUCAAGCUGAGCCUAACCAUCUCAAGACAUACAUACUCAGUUUAUAAAUGUUGCCAAACUGGAAAUAAAAGAUAACUAAAUUGUAUCAUAAUUCAAUAAGAUUUUCAGGACUAUUUUUUCUUGAACAUGUGUACAUGGGUCAUUUUAUUACAAAAAGAAGAACACAAAAAGUAGUUUAUAGCUAGCUACACAAACCAUGGAGUCACCAAAGGAGACACUCCCACCACACCCCACACAAAAGAGCCCAAGAGUACAAUCCUAGCUAUCUAGCUGGUGAUGAGGAUGCUUGGAAAAGUGGCGCAAUGGCGCAUCCUUUGAUUAAUUAAACUGGAGUAGAUAUAGUACAGUUACCAUUACAAAGAGGCACCUAAAUGAGAAAGACUCCCACGAACCAUUGGUUUUAGACAUCAUACGUUUGAAAUAGCUUUGAUGUUUGUCCUAACAAGAGAACUUAUAAAUAAGGACUAGAAGUAGUAGAAGUAGUAGCGGCAAGUUGAUAGUUACUAGGACAAAGUACAUGAUACAUUUUUUAUGCCAUGUACAAUAGACUUUAAUUCUACUCUAUGCACGCAUGUGUCGUAUCCCCACAUUUUCAUAAUUAAAUGCAAAUGGUGUGUUUACUGGCACUUUAAAAGCUAUUUUCUUUAUGCCACUGUUCAAUUUUGGGUGCUAAAAAUUAUUUCUAUUUGUUUUCAUAUGAUACCAACAGGUGGAAGCAACCAUCCUAUGCCUUUUACAGACGUGAAGAACUGGAAUGCUGCAGUCAGCUAUGGCAUAGGCUCAACUAGCCCACUCGACAAUUCAAUACUUUUUGCCCUAGAGCUUGUCAGAAAUACACAGGUUUGUUGCACUUUUAUUCAUUGUUCUGUUAUAAAAUUUCAUGUUAUUUGGUACCAUCCAAUCGUUUAGGUACCCAUUUUGAUAAAAUUGUAACGGAACAUCAACAAUUAAAGUACACUAUUAACCAAAAGUAUAUCUCUAGUAGUGAUUUUUGGUGGGUGAAAUAAGAUACUUUUAUUUUGAUGACAUUGCAUCGUAAAACAUGAUUAUUUUAUUCAAUUUUUAUAUAGGAUUAUUUAACUAUAAGUGAAUAUGUUUUUUUUUCAAUUGCUACUUACACAAUAUGCAAUUUUUUGUAAAACAGAUUUUCACUUAAGAAUUAAGGAAUUCAAUAUAUGAUGAAAUCAUAGAGAAAUGAGACUCAUAUGUAUGUUUCCUUUUGGGGGUAGGAAGCCAUUAUCAAUUUUUUAAGACUCUUGCUAAAAAAUGUUGACACACCGAUCUUAUAUACAUUUAUUGAAUCUAAUAUGCAAUAAAAUUUAUGUCGGCUGAUUCGAUCUCAUGCAUGACACUUUCUUCUCAUUGAUGUGUAGCUUGUGGCAUCAAUCUAUCAACACAAUAUUCUUCGAAAAGAGGUAAGAGCAUACUUCAUUUGUGAUCCAUAUGGAGUUUCCUCCAUUUCUGAUAUUUAAAAGAACUUCCCCAUGUACGCUAAUGCUUCCCACAUGACAUUUACUAACUAAUGUGCUUGUUAGUUAAACACUUCAAUCUAACAAAUAAAUUUGUUGAAUAUAAAAGUUUACUGCUCCCUCUGGUCCAUGUUACUUGUCGUCGCUGCAUGUAAUAUGCAUCCACUAUGUCAUCUCUAAAGAAAUACAAUAUGGGUCCUUCGCAAUUUUUCUAAUAUAUAUGAGGACAUCCUAAUAAUGUGCAUUAGAUUUUCACCGUGGGCAUUUAUUUAUUUAUUCAUAUUUUCAUGUUGAAAUCUAGCAGGGCAACUUCAGUUUGGCACUAAUGCUAAACGUUAAUGAAAUCAGUUUAGAAAUAUAAUGAUUUUUGGCCAAUGCGACUUGAUGAGUCAAAAUACAAAUUUAUUUAUUGAAAUGCAAUACAAAAUAACAUUGACAUUUAAUUGAAUUUAUGUCAUAUGUGUUGCAGGUAUAUCGGUGGCGUGGUGAUGAUCGUAUUACCGGAUGUUUAAGCUACCUUGAUUUUGGGCUUGAGCUCGCGACAAGGUAGAUUUUAACUAGAGGCAGAGGUAUUUAUAAAUAUUUUGUUGGUUCAGCUUACUACAAUUGUGUUGUAUGCCAUAUUUAGGGUAAAUGAAGACAAAACAACGGACAAUGUUGACAAAUCCUUGUUUCAGAUAGCCGCAAGUUGGCAAGUUAAUGAAAACUUCCUAGUAAAGGUCGGUUAUAAGUUCUUUAUUUUUUAUCAACUGCAUCUGGAGUUUAAUAAAAUACAUGCUAUUUGUCCUUUGAAAUUGUCCCAAACUGCUUGUAAAAUUAGAGGAUACCCCAUGCGUUGAUGUGGGAAUUAAUUGAUGAAAGUUUGGGUUGAUAACAUGAGAAGCAAAAUUAAAAGUUCAUAUAACUUAUUAUAUUUGGUUAUGUAUAGUUUUAACAAUAUUUUGAAUAUAAGUAGAAUAAUUGAAUUGAACAAAUUUUCCUAUGCAUGUUAAUGUUGUGGUGAGUCUUUUCCCAUGCACGAUUGCAUGUUAAGGUGGGCCUUAUCCUAUUCGUAGGUGUAUGGUAAGGUGACAUACUUGCAUGUUGAGAUAAAUAAGUUAGUGUGGAUGCUUCUCUUAUAGCUAUAUAAAUAGGAUUAUAAAAUUUAAAAAUAAUGUAGUGGAUUGUCACCGUGAUGCCAAGAUUUAAGACCACUCAAUCUCAUGCCUUCAUUUCUUUGUGUGAAUAAUAAUAAUAAUUAUUAUUAUUUUAACAGGGGAAGGCAGAUCCCUCCAAAUCUUCAGCGGCUUUGGCAUUGAAGCUUCCACCAUGCUUUACAUUUAGCAUCACAGGUUUGCAAUGCUUAAAAUUCUUAGGGAAAGUUUUAUUUGAAAGAAUACCUUUGUCAUACCAUUUAAAAAAACUAUUGUAUAAAAAUGCUUUAACCUUUUGUAGUAUUAUCUAGUUGUCAUGUUUUAUGCCUUUUGUUUGCACCGAAAAUCUCAAGCUUCUCGCGCUACUAUUUGUGGUCGAGAAGCAUUUUUUUAACCCUAGCAGUAUGAGAUGUGUAAUCUCGCACUACAUCUCCUGUAUUUAUAUUAAUGAUAGUUGUCUAUUUAUAUCAAUUGCUUUGUCUCCUAAUGCUCAAGAAUCGGUUCAAGAUUUGUUGUAAUGUCAUAAUAAAAUAUUAUUUGUAACAAGUAGUUGCUAUCUCACUCAAUAUAAAAAAGAUAUUUUGUGAUCCAGAUUAUUUCAAGUUUUCACCCAUUGUCUCCACAUGGCUUCCUAUUUGCAGUUGAAAAUGAUCAUUCGAAGGGUACCAGAUCAUAUGGAUUUGGAAUUCAUGUCGGAGAUGAUGUCGUAGAUCCUAGGUUCGUUAUUCAUAUUAAUACGAUUAUUAUAUUCUUGCUUGAAUUGCAGUGUGGCAUCACACACUAAAGUGAUUAUUUUGUCGAGGAAUUGUACAUAUCCAAUGUCUUAUAUGUGUGUUUCCCUAAGAUAACUAUUUGAACUACGAUGCAGAUUCCAUCGAACAAUCAAUUCAGAUUGGACAAUCUUAACAGAAACAGAAGAGAAAUUUAAUGGAGAGCAGGAGAAGCGCACAUUCCAGUUUGACCCUGAUUCAGGCAACUUUGAGAAUCUACCAACAGUGUUGAAGCCUGUCGACGAAAUAUUGUAAUGAGGGCUAUUGCACUCUUCAAUUCUUCAUCACAUCUCUAAAACUAUAUGAUGUAUUUUCCCUAAGUUACACUAUUCAAGAACCAAAUGAACUCCAUGAGAUGGUGGGUAGACAAUCAUCCAUGCAUGCGUGUGGAUGGACGUGUAUUAAAUUUUAAAGUGCAAUGAUACCAUAGGCAAUAUAAUGGACAAGCCAAUCAUCCAUGCAUACAUGUGGAUGGACGUGUAUUAAAUUUUAAAGUGCAAUGAUACCAUAUGCAAUACAAAGGACCUGAAAAUAUUAAAAAAUAAUUAAACAACACAAAGACAUUUCUUUAGAUAUACCACAACUAAUUAGAAAUCAAUUACUCGGGUUUAAAAAAAAUAGAAACGCCCAUUGGCUGGAGAGGCAACGCCUAGCAUGCCGUGCCACAGUCUGAUUUUGCUCAUAGCAUUGUACCACAUUAUAUUUGUUUUUUUUUCUUUCAUAAUUUUCUUGUUUCUUCAUGCUAGUUGACAACUAGCAAAACCAAGUCGUGUCUUUUUUGCGUCUUGAGUUUCAUACAUAUAAUAUUUUUAAAAUGAAAUAAGAUGCAAACCAACCUCUGUUUGAAUGGUUAGAGGGACAGUGCUUGCAUAUGGAAGGAGUCGUUUUCGUCGAUGACGAAGCGUCUAUGCCGGCUCAGUCUAUCUUAGAUGUUCAAAGGGAUAGGAUGCGCCACCAUGGCUGCGGGGCCAGAGUGGGGCCAUCUGUGGCGCCCGAUCACGACGGACCAUGGCAUCUCGUAUCCAAAAUCAUUCUGCCGUAGGUGGUGAUGAUGACCUGCGCUCGUCGGCGGCCCUGGACGGACGUGGUUUCGCGUCCGGAGUGACUCUCUCCACCUCCACCGGCGUGGUUGGGGGUGACAUAUGGUUCGGUAGGCGUGGUGGCUCUAUGUGAGGUGCAAAUUUGUUUUCGGUAGUGUCAGGGGUCGGUUAUUUCUAGCGGUUGUGGCUUGUUGCGGCUCCUCCUCCCAGGGCGGUGACUCUAGGCGGCUUCGGGCCAUCAUGAACGUCCAGUCAUGGCCGUCUUUGGCGGCGGAGAGGCUGGCGAUGUCCGGUAUUACAUUUCUUCGUUAACGAUGAGCGUGGCCCUCCUUCAUGUAGUGGUCAUCUGAGCCGACAACAUGUUCCAUCCUAUCUGCUCCGAUGGCAGGGACGAAGCCAACAUGCAAGCAUAGGGGGCAAGUUUGUUCAUGGAGGGGGCAAAGUUCAUAUGAAAUAAAAAAAUUGACUACAACAACCAUUAUUAUAGUAGAAAAAUCAAUUUAUUAGGGAGGAUCUAGCCCCCCCUCGUCCCCUCCUAGAAUCGUCCCUGUCUAGUGGUUUGUAUUUCUGACUUGGGAUUGGAGCAAAAUCGCCGCUCGGCUUGCUGAUGAUGGCAGAUGAUGGCAGCGACGACGCAUGUGGAUGGUGUGUCCUUCUUGGAGCCGCUAUCCAAUCAUAGCUCCUACUGUGUCCGUCCUUAAGCGCGGUGAGUUCAAAGUUUAUUUCAAAAUUUGCUCGUUUCCGAGACCCCGUUGGGCUGUAAAGCAUGGAGCGCGCGGGGCGGCCCACCUUGCUGUCCUACACUGAGCAAAUGCGGCUUUGCGCUUUAAAUGCCAAUAGUUGUCGUCCCGAUCUUACUGUAACAUAUCUUCUCUUUCUUCUUCUUCUCUCCCAAGUUAAAGCAUCUCCAGCCAUUUGCCCCUCAAGGGCUUGAAAUAGCGCCUCCUCGGCUAGCCGACGAUAUUUUUGUCCUGGGGGGCUCGGGUUCCCAACCACCGCCCAAAGUUCGCCUCCAAUCACCGAUUUCAAACUCAAAUUCGGCUCAAAUUCGAUGAAAUAUACUCAAUUUGGAUGAACUAUAGACGGUUUCGUUCAUAUUUAUACAAAUUUAAAAACAUACAUCAAAACCUAAAAAACCUAGGCCAUCGUAGCCGCCCCGAGCCUAGUUCAUGUUGAGGAGGUUGUAGAAUACGGUGUAGUCAUCAUCGUCGUCGAGGUGGCUCGUCCUCCACACCGCCAUCAUUGUUGCAGCCCUGCCCUGGAUCGCCGUUGCGGACAUGGUUCGUCGUUACGGUUGCCUCCCCGUCGCUGUCGGAGAGGACGAUGACGCCCCCUCGUCGCGGCUGAAGUGAUGCUCGGCAAUUUUGUCCAGAGUGCGACGCUGGCGCUCCAUCUCCUCCCUCACAUAGUCAUCGCGCGACCAUUUGAGGCCGGCGUCGAGGUCCGCGGCCCUCUCCAUGUGCUCUUGCUUGACCACGAUCGUCGUCGUCUUCGGCUUGCCAGACGAAGGUGGCCGCGGGAGGGGAAGGGUGGCGGCGGCCCGCGUUUAUGACGAGGUUGUCGCUGCGGCUACGCCGACGGAGCGGUGCCUCCUGGGGCUCAGGCUUCACGGCACGAGCGGCGUCUCGUGGGGCUCAGACUUGACGGCGACGAGCGGUGUCGCGAGACCGGAGGAGCGGGAGCUAGAGGACAACGAUGACAACCCCACCAUGCGCCUCGGCAGCCACGGGCUCCCGCUCCGAUGCGAGAGCGACGACGUCGAGUACUGCAAUGGAGGCUCGUUGCCUCCCUCGAUGUGCUCGAGGACGGCACGGAGCAUGCACCUGGGGACACCCCACCAUUGAUGGCGGUUGCCGGAGUUGUGACGCCCCCUCAGCGUCGCAGCGCCGUUGAUGGACGCCCGCUGGUUGGCGUGACGGCGCUGGAAAUACGCCAUCCAUAAGGGCUGGUUGUUAGGGGCGUACUCUGUUUGGGAACGUCGCAUGGGAAACAAAAAUUUUCCUACGCCCACGAAGACCUAUCAUGGUGAUGUCCAUCUACGAGAGGGGAUUUUCGAUCUACGUACCCUUGUAGAUCGCACAGCAGAAGCGUUAAGAAACGCGGUUGAUGUAGUGGAACGUCCUCACGUCCNNNNNNNNNNNNNNNNNNNNNNNNNNNNNNNNNNNNNNNNNNNNNNNNNNNNNNNNNNNNNNNNNNNNNNNNNNNNNNNNNNNNNNNNNNNNNNNNNNNNGGGGGUGGGGUGGGGGGUACGAUGUGACCAUAUAUACCAAAGGUUGUUUCUCGUUCAUUGUGAUAUGUUUGGGUGUGACGCCACUCGGGCGACCCGUGCCCACUAGCAGGGGUGGCUGUGUGUGUGUGUGGGGGGUACGAUGUGACCAUAUAUAUCCAGGGUUGUUUCUCGUUCAUUGUGAUAUGUUUGGUGCGACACCACUCGGGCGACCCGUAUUGUGGUUGCGUGCAGUUUUUUCUCUCUCUCUCUGGUUUUCUUAUACUUUCACACUGUUAGCAUUGGUUUUUACUUGUUACUUUUUUGGUUUUCUUUGUUUCUAUCUUUGUUUUUUUUCUCUUUUUUUUCCUUUUAUCAGCACAUGUCUACAUUUUUCAUACAAAUUCUAUAUUAUAUUUAUAUACAUUAAAAAAUCUGUUAUACACAUUUAAUACUUUUUAAUACACAAUUAACAUUUUUUCAAACAUAUGUUUUGGUGUUUAUUUUCUCCAUGCACAUUGUGUAUUUUUGGUAUACAUCUAAAAAUCAUUUUCUUACGUGUUUAUCAGUUUUCAAGUACAUGAUAUGUUUUCAAAGACAUGUUUAUGAGAAUAAAUUAAAUAUGUGUUAAGCAUCUUCCAAACACAUGCUAUUUCCUUUUGAAUGACUAGUAAAUUUGUACGUGCAACGCACGUCUUAAUCGACAUCAAAUAAUUAUUAAACAUGUUUUAUUAUUAUUAUACAAGUUUCAUAACCAAUAAUAACGUUUGUUGGGAUGAAAUAAAAACAAGACCACAUGGACAAACUAAAGCGAUCAUCACUAUCUUUAUUAAUUUCAUGUUGUCGGUGGUCCAACAACUUAUCCAAAGAUGACAACUUGACGUGUAUUUUUUUGCUAAUCUUCAUUGCAAGAAAACAAUAAUGUUCAAAUAUACACAAUCUCCCGAACAACAAUAUACAUUAAUUACAUGUCAUUGUUUCGCUGGAACAUCCGACAAAGCACGGGAAACAUCCGACAAAGCACGGGAAAUAGAUGAAUGCUUUAGAAGUUGUUGUGCUAUUUGGUAUACUUCAGCAGCAUUUGUACUGAAUGUUGAUUCCAAACAAAAAGAAUUAAAGGAAAAAAGGUACAAUAACUCAAGUUACCUAUAUAACUCCAUGUGUCAAUACAACCUUUUUCAUGUGUAUGGUGAUGAAUUUCCAUAGAACAAAACAAAAAGGCGAAGACUAUCAAGAAAUAAUCAAUUAAAAAAAGUGACAGGACAACAGGUGAAAGCUACGCUCCAUCCAACUAACUGAACAAAUGAGUGUCAUCCAAAUCUCAAAGCUUACUUGUGUGGUGCAUUUAUUGGCGAAAAAGUUACCUGUACAACCACUCACAACCAUUCCUUAGUCUAAAGCAACAAAUCGGGGAUAAGCGUCACUAUGGAUCUUCUAAAAUGCCACAUACCCAAUCUUUCUUUAGGCCAAGGAUACAUGAGGUCUCUUUGUCCGGAACCACCCUGAGCCUUACUCGCAUGCUACUACUUGGUUGACUGUGAUAUAAUAAAGUGUGUGCAAAAUCAGAAGUACAAGUAUCAUGUUAGAUAUAAAUGAAAUUUCUCAUAUUUGUGUUGUACAAGUAUUCUGUAAGAGGAAAAAUAUAAUCUUGAUGAUAGCGGUCAUACACAUAGUAUUAAGCAAGUAUUUAGAAUUUCAGAUAAUGCAUCCGACACCUGCUAGGCUCUAUGUAAUACAUGGUUGUAAUAGGGAUAUGGUUCAAUGUUAAUGCCUUUUAUUGGCAGACGAUCUGUGUCAAUACCAGCUAAGGGCUUACGCGUCAAUACUGGUUACUCGGUAUAAUGUUCAUAUUAUAUUAAAAUGAUUUUUCCCAUGUGAUGGAAACGCAACACCAAUACUAACCCGCACCAUCUUGAAGAAAAGAUCGCGUCUAAUUUUUCAAUACUUUGUAGAAUAACCAUUAUAAAUGUUGUUGAAUGCAUUGCAAUUAAAAUUAACUAAAUCACUACAAUAUUAUAAAGGAGGUGUGCAAUAACUCACCCGAAGCCUUGACCAUGAAUGAAGGCAACUGAAAUUGUAUUCC
rnacentral:lncRNA from 1 species